rnacentral:lncRNA from 1 species
CGUCCAACAACCAGGUAUUGUGAAUUAUACAAUUGGCAAAGGUUUGAUACCCAUUUUGCCUUAGGGAGCUACCAUUUGAUUUUUUAUGGGGGGCUAGGAUGUCCUGCCUUUUUAUUUUUCACUCUAUAUGGUCCUGCCUUUUUUUUAUUAGUUUAUUCUGACAUUUUUUACCUAAAUUGUCAUCCUGACUUUUUUGCAAGUGUAAUCGCUUUUUUUUUUUACUCAAAACUCCUGUCCUGCCUAUUUUUUUCAAAUUUCAUCCUAGCCCCCCCAUAAAAAUCAAAUGGUAGCUCCCUUAUUUAAAAGGGAUUUGACAAAUACAGAAAGCAAUUAAUUGUAUUAUAUAUCAGCUUUACAAAGUUACUAUAGAUAUAUAUAUCCCUUAAAACAAUUUACGGAUCAUGUCACCUCCCCCCCCCUUUUCCCCCAUUUUUUUUAUUCCCAUAUCAUAUAAAAGUAAAGCGUAUAUGUAUG